AUUGAACGCUGGCGGCAUGCCUUACACAUGCAAGUCGAACGGUAACAGGUCUUCGGAUGCUGACGAGUGGCGAACGGGUGAGUAAUACAUCGGAACGUGCCCAGACGUGGGGGAUAACGAGGCGAAAGCUUUGCUAAUACCGCAUACGAUCUAAGGAUGAAAGCAGGGGACCGCAAGGCCUUGCGCGUUUGGAGCGGCCGAUGGCAGAUUAGGUAGUUGGUGGGAUAAAAGCUUACCAAGCCGACGAUCUGUAGCUGGUCUGAGAGGACGACCAGCCACACCGGGGCUGGGCCGCGCCCCAGCCCCCUACGGGAGGCGCCGGGGGGAAUUUUUGACCAAGGGGCAAAAGCUCGUCCCACCAAUGCCGCGUGCGGGAUGACGGCCUUGGGGUUGUAAACUCUUUUUUUGCGGAACGAAAAGGCUCUGGCUAAUCCCUGGGGCCCCUGCCGGUACCUAAAGAAUAAGCCCCGGCUACCUACGU
rnacentral:rRNA from 1 species